AGUGAACGCUGGCGGCGUGCCUAAUACAUGCAAGUCGAACGGAGUGGCGCACGGGUGAGUAAUAUAUCUCUAAUCUGCCCCUUUCUGGGGGACAACAGUUAGAAAUGACUGCUAAUACUCCAUAUGAAGGGAUGAGACUCUAUCGUAUCAGCUAGUCGGUGGGGUAACGGCCUACCGAGGGUAUGACGCGUAACUGGUCUGAGAGGAUGAUCAGUCAAAUUGGAAGUGAGACACGGUCCAAACUCCUACGGGAGGGAGCAGAAGGGAAUAUUGCGCAAUGGGGGAAACCCUGAAGCAGCAACGCCGCGUGAAGGAUGACAAUUGUCGAAGCGUAAACUGCUUUUGUUAAGGAAACGGUACCUAAAGAAUAAGCACCGGCUAACUCCGUGCCAGCAGCCGCGGUAAUUC
rnacentral:rRNA from 1 species